UACCAGCACCCCGAGUGGUCGGGACGUUUUAUUGGGCCUAAAGCAUCCGUAGCCGGUUCUACAAGUCUUCCGUUAAAUCCACCUGCUUAACAGAUGGGCUGCGGAAGAUACUAUGGAGCUAGGAGGCGGGAGAGGCAAGCGGUACUCGAUGGGUAGGGGUAAAAUCCGUUGAUCCAUUGAAGACCACCAGUGGCGAAGGCGGCUUGCCAGAACGCGCUCGACGGUGAGGGAUGAAAGCGUGGAUAGCAAACAGG
rnacentral:rRNA from 1 species